CCUGUACCACCUAUAAUCGUUUUAAUCGAUGGGGGGACGCAGUAGGAUAGGCGAAGCGUGCGAUUGGAUUGCACGUCUAAGCAGUAAGGCUGAGUAUUAGGCAAAUCCGGUACUCGUUAAGGCUGAGCUGUGAUGGGGAGAAGACAUUGUGUCUUCGAGUCGUUGAUUUCACACUGCCGAGAAAAGCCUCUAGAUAGAAAAUAGGUGCCCGUACCGCAAACCGACACAGGUAGUCAAGAUGAGAAUUCUAAGGUGAGCGAGCGAACUCUCGUUAAGGAACUCGGCAAAAUGACCCCGUAACUUCGGGAGAAGGGGUGCUCUUUAGGGUUAACGCCCAGAAGAGCCGCAGUGAAUAGGCCCAAGCGACUGUUUAUCAAAAACACAGGUCUCUGCUAAACCGUAAGGUGAUGUAUAGGGGCUGACGCCUGCCCGGUGCUGGAAGGUUAAGAGGAGUGGUUAGCUUCUGCGAAGCUACGAAUCGAAGCCCCAGUAAACGGCGGCCGUAACUAUAACGGUCCUAAGGUAGCGAAAUUCCUUGUCGGGUAAGUUCCGACCCGCACGAAAGGCGUAACGAUUUGGGCACUGUCUCAACGAGAGACUCGGUGAAAUCAUAGUACCUGUGAAGAUGCAGGUUACCCGCGACAGGACGGAAAGACCCCGUGGAGCUUUACUGUAGCCUGAUAUUGAAAUUCGGCACAGCUUGUACAGGAUAGGUAGGAGCCUUUGAAACGUGAGCGCUAGCUUACGUGGAGGCGCUGGUGGGAUACUACCCUAGCUGUGUUGGCUUUCUAACCCGCACCACUUAUCGUGGUGGGAGACAGUGUCAGGCGGGCAGUUUGACUGGGGCGGUCGCCUCCUAAAAGGUAACGGAGGCGCUCAAAGGUUCCCUCAGAAUGGUUGGAAAUCAUUCAUAGAGUGUAAAGGCAUAAGGGAGCUUGACUGCGAGACCUACAAGUCGAGCAGGGUCGAAAGACGGACUUAGUGAUCCGGUGGUUCCGCAUGGAAGGGCCAUCGCUCAACGGAUAAAAGCUACCCCGGGGAUAACAGGCUUAUCUCCCCCAAGAGUUCACAUCGACGGGGAGGUUUGGCACCUCGAUGUCGGCUCAUCGCAUCCUGGGGCUGUAGUCGGUCCCAAGGGUUGGGCUGUUCGCCCAUUAAAGCGGUACGCGAGCUGGGUUCAGAACGUCGUGAGACAGUUCGGUCCCUAUCCGUCGUGGGCGUAGGAAAUUUGAGAGGAGCUGUCCUUAGUACGAGAGGACCGGGAUGGACAUACCUCUGGUGUACCAGUUGUCGUGCCAACGGCAUAGCUGGGUAGCUAUGUGUGGACGGGAUAAGUGCUGAAAGCAUCUAAGCAUGAAGCCCCCCUCAAGAUGAGAUUUCCCAACUUCGGUUAUAAGAUCCCUCAAAGAUGAUGAGGUUAAUAGGUUCGAGGUGGAAGCAUGGUGACAUGUGGAGCUGACGAAUACUAAUCGAUCGAAGAC
rnacentral:rRNA from 1 species